CAGACCUCUAUCGGAAAAGACUACCGGCU
rnacentral:rRNA from 1 species